rnacentral:rRNA from 1 species
CUGACACAGGGAGGUAGUGACAAUAAAUAACAAUGACGGGCCUUUUUGGUCUGUCAAUUGGAAUGAGAACAAUUUAAACCCCUUAUCGAGGAUCCAUUGGAGGGCAAGUCUGGUGCCAGCAGCCGCGGUAAUUCCAGCUCCAAUAGCGUAUAUUAAAGUUGUUGCAGUUAAAAAGCUCGUAGUUGGAUUUGUGGCGGUUGUUGCGGUCCAUUUUUGGUACUGCGGCGACUGCCAUCCUUGAGUGGAUCCUGCGUGGCAUUAGGUUGUCGUGCAGGGGAUGCUCAUCGUUUACUGUGAAAAAUUAGCGCGUUCAAAGCAAGCUUAUGCUGUUGAAUAGAUUAGCAUGGAAUAAUGAGAUAGGACCUUGGUACUAUUUUGUUGGUUUGCGCACCGAGGUAAUGAUUAACAGGGACAGUUGGGGGUAUUCGUAUUCCAUUGUCAGAGGUGAAAUUCUUGGAUUUCUGGAAGACGAACUACUGCGAAAGCAUUUACCAAGGAUG